AGUACGCGUCGCGAAAGGAAGCAGUUGUGUUGUGUUGUAAAUUGAGCUGAUUUGCCACCAGACAACCCGAACCUUUAGUUUUCGUGAGUGUGUACAAUGGUUUUGAGAUCGAACGGCAGAUUUGGUGACUCCUUCAUUGCUUCCAGUAUCCAAUCCAAAUAGACAUCGGUGUUUGUGUAAACUACGGGAUAGUAAAUACUGCAAGCUCUUGGCAAGAUCACAGCAAAACCGCGCAGAAAAUGUCGUUGCUUCGAUUCUAGCCACUGCAACGAGUGAAGCGAACCACCGAAAUCCGUAUAGACACAUCCAUCAUUCAGCGCCCGCUUGCUAAUUACACAAUGCUUCGAUUUGUCUACGGAAAAGUUCACCUUCAAACCUUGCCAUCGUGAUUGACACUCCGCCGAGGUGAUGUAUCUAUCAUCCACGCUGCUAUUUCCAAAGUUAAAUGUGGAGGAAAAUCCAAUGACUGCCUGAACCAGGCUUGAUGUAUCGUAGCUGCGUAUUGAAUCGAUGGUCGGUAAGCAGAUGGGCCUCACAUUCGGAAGAGUUGUAUCCGCAGAUGUGGACAGCAGAGCCAAUGCAAGAUCGUGUGCAUGAUUCGUUCGGUUGUACUGUGGAUGAAUGUGGAUCCUCUCAAUCGCAACACGAUGGGUAGGAAGAUCGCAUGCUUCAUACUUAUUGGUUUUGAAACAUUGCUUCUCGACAGUGUCGCUAUUAGCGUACCCAAACUCAACGGAGUAUCUGAAACGGAGUAAAGUAUGUCUGAAUAAUGUCUAGCAUAAGCCAAACCCGUACAACUGUACUUACUGUUGACUAGCGUCCUCGAAGCAAUAUGCCGGUCCAACAACGUGCCUGUGGUUUACGAGUGUUACCGAACACGGUCUUGCACUGGAAAAAGUCACAUUUGAUAAGACAUUCCCCACCCAUGGUGUUGGGUAGCUGCUCGAUGAUUCACCACAGCUAUUAAACUCCAACAACGCUUGAAGUGUUGGCUUGGCAGCUUGCUGUACUGGCAUUAAAUUCACCCGUUCAUUUCUCGUUGUGGCGAGGAAUGACGAUUGAUGUGCUUUAUCGCGCACGUUUGCCACUAUCCAUUCGAGAUCUGCCAACUCAAUCGUGUGGAACAGGUACGGACCAUUGUCUAGCUUUGCGAAUCUAUGCGGUUCGUUGUUAUCCAUCCCGUACAGAAAGAUACGCGAGUUCUCUCCGUACGGUACAGGUACUUGUAACGGACUGCCCAGAACAGAAGGGAGCGGAAACUUUGCAAAAUUAUCCGUCUCAAUUGCACACAUGGAGUUUUCUUCCAAGGGAACGAAACGAUUUUUCAACAGCAAGCGUUGCUGGCAGUUGCGCUGAUCUAUGAUGGUUAGUUUCUUGUCUAGGAUGGAAUUCCAUUGGCUAGAUGAUAUGAUCGCUUCCGUGGGCUUGCGCCAAUGCAGCUGCUUCAUGAAGGGCAAACAGAUUGGGUUGAUGUAGGGAUUCUUUAGAUUAGCUGGCUCGAGAAGCUCUAUCAGUGCAAACGUCUGUCUCGGAUGGUUCGGUGGAGGGAUGAUAAUGUUCUUGAUCUCCACCAGCUGGUGUGAUAACUCACACUUGGUAGGAAAGCAAGGAUCAUCUCCAGUAUGCUUGCCUAGGAUAAGAUGACGCCUAAAACGAUGAAAAAAGCCCCAUAAAAAAUUGGGUACUUGCACUCCCUGCAAUGGUACUUACCAUGUGACACCGUUUUGUAAACUGCGUUUGGGGGCCAGAGCAUACCAUUCGCUUAUGAGCACUACCAUGCUCCUUGUCGAUGGAAAGUCACCGGUGCUAUUUUCUGCAACCUUUAAAUAACCAAUCCAGGGCAUAAUGGGCAUUGCAUUAUUUAUCUGAUAAUGGGGACUGACUAUGCCGCAGGUGUCCAUAUUGAAAAGACGUAACCUUUCCUUUCCCGGCUGCUGCUGCAGCUUGCUCCACUCGGAUUCGAGCAAUUCUUUGGUUUUUUGUGAUUUUAUCCGAAUCUGUUGUUUCUAGCACGUUGUACCUCAUGUUGUACAGUAUCCAGUCAAGAUAAGCUUCGAUAUCGAUGUACACGGGCGGUGGAUGCACAUUACAGGCCGACCCAUGUAGCUCAAACCCCCACAGAAAGUGUCGGUCCGUACCAUUGAAUGUCUUCGUUUCCUGGAGCGGGGCACCCGCUUCCAGCGCUCUACAUGUAAGCGAAUCCUGCUUGUUCACCAGUUCUGCACAGAUCCGUUUGUUUCCCAACUCAAGCACAAUCUGCCGUUGAGUGUACUGUCGCAUACACUCGGCAGCCUCCAUGUAGUGCACGGGUAUGCUUUUAAGUUCGAUUGUUCUCCCAAACUUUGUUGGCACACUUAAGCUACUCGGUUCUCUCGUUCGAAGCUCGGAUGUUACAGGUAGGCAGAUGGGCUUCACAUUCGGUUGUGUGGUGUCUGCCGGGCUCAACAACUCGAUCAGUACGAUAUUGUCCGUAGAAUUGUUAAUGUUGAACUUCGGGUGUACUAUGAUCCUUUGAAUUUGUCGCAUUUGUACUGGAUGUGUACAGACGGCGGACCCAUGACUUUCGAAACAUUCUAUGCUCGACGACUCAAAUGCGAAACCUAGUACAACGGUCGACCUACAUCGACGAAUUAAUAUUUCAUUAGUACCUUGACCAACAAUACAACUAUACUUACUUGACACCAUCGUUUUCGAAACAAUGUGCUGGCCCAACCGCGUACCACUCGCUUAUUAGUGUAACAACACACUUAUAUGAAGCUUCACCAAGUGGUAUGACCAAACCAAUCCACGGUAGUGUCCAACCAGUACCAUUUUUAGCAUAAACAGGUGACUUCAAACCGCAAGUUUGGAAGUUGAAUAAUCGUAGUUUCUCCACAUAGUCUACAUCGAACAAAUCACUCCCAUACGUAAGCACUCGCUCAUCAAUGUACGGUUUAAUCCAUUCCAGAUACUUGGCCACAUCCGUGUAAGCCGUGUUCUUCAGCGGAUCGCACAGUGCUGUACUUAAGCGUGCUGGAGUAAACGACACCAGACCCCUCACGAACCAUUUACCACCGAUCUCGAAGAACAUUCCGCCGCCGCUAUCUCCAUUGCACGCACUCACACCCUUCUGCCCUUUACCACAAAACAUGUCCGACGUCAGCUGAUCCGACACAAUGUCCUGUUCGUUGUAUCCGAAUCCAACGAUGGUUCCGUUUCUACCCACGAUCAACUCCUGAUUGCUGUCCAUGGUCCACAGACAGACCGGUUGCACGUACUUGUUCAUCGUGAUGUUCGAACUCAGCUUGAUCAGAGCAAUAUCGUUGACGAUACUGUUUUUGCUAAAUCCCGGAUGAACUAUUAUCUCUCGCACACGGUGCGUCUGCGUGUAUUCGCUUGAUUCGUUUAGAUGAAUUCGUCCCACAUCCACCGACACUCGCGAUAUCGAAAUCACACCGCUUUGGGUAUACACACAAUGAGAAGCUAAUAAAAAGAAAAUUGCAGUAUUUUUACAUGA